GGAGAAUCUCAUUUGUGAGGAAAAAGGGAGAUGGACCUGAUCAGCCUCGGGAAGAGAAGCAUCACUCACUGUCUACACUGAGAAUGAUUUUGGGCCAGGAAGUGAAGACCAAAGCAGAAGUCAAGCCAAAAGAGGGGCAGCCAUGUGGCUGAGGCAGCUGAAGAACAAUCUCAUAUGCCAGGAGAUGCUGACUGGCCAAAAGACCAAGCAGCCUUUUUCCAC